GAUGAACGCUGGCGGCGUGCCUAAUACAUGCAAGUCGAGCGAACGGACGCGAAGCUUGCUUCUCUGAUGUUAGCGGCGGACGGGUGAGUAACACGUGGAAAACCUACCUAUAAGACUGGGAUAACUUCGGGAAACCGUAGCUAAUACCGGAUGAUAUUUUGAACCGCAUGGUUCAAAAGUGAAAGACGGUCUUGCUGUCACUUAUAGAUGGAUCCGCGCUGCAUUAGCUAGUUGGUAAGGUAACGGCUUACCAAGGCAACGAUGCAUAGCCGACCUGAGAGGGUGAUCGCCCACACUGGAGCUUAGACGCGGUCCAGGGUCCUACGGGAGGCAGCAGUAGGGAAUCUUACGCAAUGGGCGAGAGCCUGGCGGAGCAGCGCCGCGUGAGUGAUAGAGGUCUUCGGAUCGUAAAACUCUGUUAUUAGGGAAGAACAUAUGUGUAAGUAACUGUGCACAUCUUGACGGUACCUAAUCAGAAAGCCACGGCUAACUACGUG
rnacentral:rRNA from 1 species